AUGUGGACAGGAACGCACCAGCAUAGGAGCACACCGGCAUGGUCGCAGGCCAUUGACCAGCGGAAGGAUGCGGGGUUUCUCCAGGGAGGUCAGAGAAGCGUCAGGCGUCCAUACCUGACUCCAGGAGAAAACCCAUCUCCCGUCUGCCGAGAGCUACUUCCACUCAGUAAAACUUUCCACUCAUUCUUCAAGCCCACGUGUGAUCCAAUUCUUCUGGUACACCAAGAGUCUCACUCUAUUCCCUGGCUGGGGUGCAGUGGCACUAUCACAGCUCACCAUAGCCUCGACCUCUUGGACUCAGGUGAUCCUCCUGCCUCAGCCUCCCAAGUAGCUGGGACUACAGGUCAAAACAGUCACAACCCUGCUCAAAUUCGCAAAGAUGGGACGGAAAUGGAACCUCUUCAUGGGAGGAAGGUAAAAGAAUUUGGUGCCGUCUUUAAGACUACCACAUUACACCAAUGGCAUCUUCUCACUUUUAGCACAGCCUCUCUGCAACUUGAUGAUCUGCAAUUUGUUUUCUCUUCACCCCAAGUGACUAUGAGCUCACGCAGGGCCAAAAUUAUUUAUAACCUGAACAAAUUAUAUUCUAAGAAACUGUUGAUGAAAAUGAGACACUAUAAAUAUUGA
rnacentral:lncRNA from 1 species